UACAUUUUAUACUCUGUAGAACCCCUUAAUCGUAUUAAUGGUUGGUGGUUGGUGGCCAUUUGUUGAUGAUUUCAUUAAUGUCUCUGUUGCUCACCAGAUUUCAAAUGCCAACAGAGCUAGAAUUUUGUCUUGUCUAUUUUAUUCUCUAUUUUAAGGCCCAGUGCCUAGAAUAGCACAGCCCUGACACUCAAUAAAUACCAUUUGAAUAAAUGGGUGAAUAGAAGAUACAAAUAUUAGAUCAUAUCCUACAAGUUGAAGAUAAAGAGUAAAAGGACAUAUUGGAAAAGAAAGGGCUGGAAAAGAAAGGAGCUUAAAAAGGCAAGAGGACAAGAAAACCUGGAGGGAUGGAGCGUCUGUUUCCUUGGCUUUCUCACUGAACUUCCAUAUUGGAAAGCAAAUCACCUAAGAGAGCCAUCUCUUCCCAGCUCUGCAUAGGCCUGGUGGAACAGCACUGAGGAUGUUUCCUUAGGCUCAAAGCCACCAGAUGGGACAGAAACAGCUGCAGUGGGGGGACUGACCACAAGGAGAAUGGAGCCGUCCUUACCUGAGCCUCACCCAUUUCCAGGCUAAUUCCCCCACCUGAAGAACAUAUGUUCAUUCAACGUUCAUUCAGUAAGCCCCUAUUUGGUGCCAAGAACUAUCCGAAGGCAAUAUGUUAGUGGAAAUUCAAAAGGAGUGGAAGAAAAAUCAUCUAAUCUGAAGAAACUCCAGACAUCUCCAAGAAACUAUGAAAUUGAAAUCAAGGGCUAAGUUGUGGGUGUUGUAUUGCAAGUGUUGGAAGAGGCCAAGAGAAGUAAAAAUACAAGUGAACUGGUGUUGGCAGGAACAAGCUCACUGUGAAUACAGGGUAGCAGGACUAAGCACCCGGUAUGCUAGAAAACAAUUGCUGUGUAUAGCUUUGUUAAAAUAAAUGGUUUUGUUUCCA